rnacentral:rRNA from 1 species
GCCUACGGGGGGCAGCAGUGGGGAAUAUUGCGCAAUGGGCGAAAGCCUGACGCAGCGACGCCGCGUGGGGGAUGAAGGUCUUCGGACCGUAAACCUCUGUCAGCAGGGAAGAACGGUCACUGUGCUAAUCAGCAGUGAAUUGACGGUACCUGCAAAGGAAGCACCGGCUAACUCCGUGCCAGCAGCCGCGGUAAUACGGAGGGUGCGAGCGUUAAUCGGAAUUACUGGGCGUAAAGCGCUCGUAGGCGGUAUGUCAAGUCAAGGGUGAAAUCCCCGCGCUCAACGUGGGAACUGCCUUUGAAACU